rnacentral:rRNA from 1 species
ACGGUGGCGGACGGGUGAGUAACGCGUAAAGAAUUUGCCCUUCAGACUGGGACAACUAAUCGAAAGGUUAGCUAAUACCGGAUAUUAUGAGACCUCGGCAUCGAGGACUUAUGAAAGCUAUAUGCGCUGGAGGAGAACUUUGCGUUCCAUUAGCUAGUUGGUAGGGUGACGGCCUACCAAGGCAGAGACGGGUAGGGGACGUGAGAGCGUGACCCCCCACACUGGCACUGGGAUACGGGCCAG